AGCGGCGGACGGGUGAGUAACGCGUGGGUAACCUGCCUUACACAGGGGGAUAACAGUUAGAAAUGACUGCUAAUACCGCAUAACCCGCUAGGGCCGCAUGGCCCGGACGGAAAAGAUUUUAUCGGGUGUAAGAUGGACCCGCGUCUGAUUAGCUGGUUGGUGAGGUAACGGCUCACCAAGGCGACGAUCAGUAGCCGACCUGAGAGGGUGAUCGGCCACAUUGGGACUGAGACACGGCCCAAACUCCUACGGGAGGCAGCAG
rnacentral:rRNA from 1 species